rnacentral:misc_RNA from 1 species
GAAAUGCGAUAAGUAGUGUGAAUUGCAGAAUUCAGUGAAUCAUCGAAUCUUUGAACGCACAAUGCGCCCUUUGGUAUUCCUUAGGGCAUGCCUGUUCGAGCGUCAUCUAAACCUUCAAGCCCUGCUUGGUGUUGGGUGCCUGUCCCGCCUCCGCGCGCGGACUCACCUCAAAUCCAUUGGCGGCCCCCGCGUCGGCCACGAGCGCAGCAGAAACGCGAACUCGUGAGCCCGUCCGGGCGGCUCCCAGAAGCUACACCCACCCAGUUUGACCUCGGAUCAGGUAGGGAUACCCGCUGAACUUAAGC